ensembl:snRNA U2 U2 spliceosomal RNA
AUUGCUUCUCAGCCUUUUGGCUAAGAUCAAAUGUUGUUUCUGUUCUUAUCAGCUUAGUAUCUGAUAUGUCCUCUACCCAAGGACAAUACAUUAAAUGGAUUUUUGGAAAUAGGAGAUGGAAUAGCCUGCUCUGUAUACUCCAUGCAUCAAACAGAUUACAGUAUCUCCAGGAAUGAUGCACCAAAA